AUUCAGUUGAUCAGUUGUGAUUUAAGUCGUGAGCGCUUACGGCGCUUAUGGAAUUGAUUGUAAAGUCCACUUGUUAAAUGGCCUCACUCCAGACGAGCAUCUGCACUCAGAUUUAUUUCCAAGUAUUCUGGAAUUUCCAAGCGGCUAAUAUUCUAUGAUCUGAUUGCCCAUCCUGUAUCUGAGCAAUCAUUGGUAGAGAGUUAGCAGCAAAAUCAAAUCACCUCAAAAUUCAUCAUUUAGUGCUUCAAACAACAUUGAUAUCAAGGAAGAUUUAGUGUAGGCAACUUAAAUAAUCAUAAACAGUGACUUUCAAAGUUUGAUUUGUCCAGAUAUUAAUUUUUUCAAACGAAGAAGAAAAGUGUACUUAAGUUCAGUGUUGGAAAUGCCUAAAUAUCUGAAUCAGUAGGUAAAACCAAACUGUUCUCAAUUUAAGUUUUGAAGAAGAACUUUAUAUUUGGCGAGUCUUUUUUUAUAUAAUUUCUUAACGCAUACUCUUUCAACACAGAAGGACUUUGAUAAACUAUAGAAAGCAGUUUCUUUUGAUGCUCAUCAUGAAACAUCAUCUCAGCAAGUUUGAUGCCCUCUCAAGUCUGAGUUACAUAUUUGUGCUGUAUAUUACCUGAAAAUUUUGAUUUUAUGUAGUUCAAAGCCUUGAAUAUUUUCUGUCAUACUUUUUAGUGAUCUAGCUGUAUUUGUCGGCAUCAUUUAAGUGGAUCUGAAUGUCAUGAUUUAUCAUUACAACUUAUUAAGCUUAAAUUAAAGACAUUGUGUACCUCCAUCCCCCCAAAACUGAGGGUCUCGCAGUCAAAAUCUCACGAUACUUUACGCCGGUGACUAAUGAAGAGUUACUGGAGUAAGCGUGGAGUUAUUCGGACUAGAUGUGGCGCAUCAAUCAAUACCUUGGUAUACAUUUUCUACAUCAAACUUCAUUCAUCUUUGCAGGGUUCUCUAUGGCAAACAUGCUCCCUUUGUGCUACCAGCCACAUGUGUCUUUCAGUGUCAUUGAUUAUCCUAGGAUGACCAAUGACAUGUGUCAUCCAUAAUCGUAGGAUGACCAAUGACAUGCGCCGUUUAAUGUCAUUCAUCAUCCUAGAAUUCCUAACGACAUGUUUUAGGAUUUUCAAUGACAUGCAUCCUUCGAUGUCAGGAUUUUCAACAAUAUAUGGAGUUGAAUGUCUUUCAAUGUCUUUGUGAGGAAUGAAGGAUAUAUCCUCGGAACGACAUCUGAUGAUAAAGUGGCAAAA